GCAAUGAGGACUGUGAAUACGUUCUGAGGCGUAUUCUCCGUAGAGCUGUUAAUUAUGGAAGUGAAGUUCUGAAAGCACAAGAAGGAUUCUUCAAUAGCCUCGUAAACAUUGUUGUAAAGGUGAUGGGUGAUGUUUUCCCCAAACUGAAACAAUAGGAAGUGCACAUUAGUUUAUAAUUGCUGAAGAGAAAGCAAGUUUUGGCAAGACAUUACUUAAGAUGCAGCAUCUACCCCUUAUAUUGCAAUUGUCACGGUGAUGCUACAUUCACAAUCUCUUGGUGCAUAAUUUUCCCCAACUACUAGUCUACGCCGUUGCUGAAAAUACUCAAGGAAAAGAAGCACUUCAUUUAUUAAACACAUGGAUAGCAGACAAAGGAAGCGGAGAAGCCAUAUUCCAUCAAGAUC